rnacentral:rRNA from 1 species
CAGUAGCCACGGUAAUACGAGGGGUGCAGGCGUUAUUCGGAUUGAUUGGGUGUAAAGGGUGUGCAGACGGCUUAUUAAGUCACUUGUUAAAUUCUUCGGCCUAACUGAAGGUCUGCAAGUGAUACUGAUGAGCUAGAGGGUGGAAGAGAGAAGUGGAAUUCUCGGAGUAGCGGUAAAAUGCGUAGAUCUCGAGAGGAACACCAAUGGCGAAGGCAGCCUCUUGGUCCAUUCCUGACGUUCAUACACGAAAGCGUGGGGAGCAAACAGGAUUAGAUACCCGCGUAGUCCCUGUCUCUUAUAC